GAUGAACGCUGGCGGCGUGCCUAAUACAUGCAAGUCGAGCGAACAGACGAGAGUGUUUGCACUCUCUGGCGUUCGCGGCGGACGUGUGAGUAACAUGUGUGUAACCUAUCUAUAACUCGGGUAACUUUGGGGGAACCGGGAUCAUACCCGGUAAAAUAUUUAGCUUCGUUUUACGCUAGUGUGAAACAGGUUUGCUCUCUCUUUUAGAUUGGUCCGCGCUGUAUUAGCUAGUUGGUGAGGUAACGGCUUACCAAGGCAACGAUACAUAGCCGACCUGAGAGGGUGAUCGGCCACACUGGAACUGAGACACGGCCCAGACUCCUACGGGAGGCAGCAGUAGGGAAUCUUCCGCAAUGGACGAAAGUCUGACGGAGCAAUGCCGCGUGAGUGAAGAAGGUUUUCGGAUCGUAAAACUCUGUUGUAAGGGAAGAACAAGUACGUUAGUAACUGAACGUACCUUGACGGUACCUUACCAGAAAGCCACGGCUAACUACGUG
rnacentral:rRNA from 1 species